GCAAGCUUGGAGUAAGAGCCGAUAGCUCUUACUAUUCAAUUUAAUUUCUUUUUAUUCAGAGUAUGUAUUUCAACUUAUCAUUAACUGCUGGAUGACAAGACAGACAAGGAAUGCUUGAAUUUCUGGACUACCAAGAGAGAAUGAUAUCUUGAGGAAGUUGUUCAGGAAUUUGACUGGGAUUUAGUUGAAGAAUUCCUCCUAGGCUUUCCUCCCUAGAACAGAAUUUGACUUGAGAUAAACCUUUCAGUGGAAAAAUAGGAGGGCACGAACUAUCUUUUCAGAUAUACUUCUGUCUGUGUCAUCAAUGCCUUUUUUUGCACUCACGACAUCAUCUCUUUCAUACUGGACUCCUUUUUGGGCAUCACAGCUAUGAACUGCUGGCUUUGCGUAUCAAACUGCAGAGAGGCUUCCAUAGCCAUGGACCUUACCAGUGCAGAGCACAACAUCCAUACUUAGUCCUGUACUUCCAGUAAAGUCAACUUAGAUAUGAGGUGCAUGUUUCCAUGCUGAAGAACUCUCUACCCAUCUUUUAAGUGCACAUGGAUUAAUCUCAUCAGUUGCUCAGUCUGGAUUUGAUUGAACACCAACACAUUUGUUCAUCUGCUGGAAGAGGAAUCCUUUGACCGGGUUUUGACCUGAAAUCUGACACAAAUCUGUUUGUUUACUUAUCUGAAGCUGAUUAAUGUCAUUAUUGAUUGCUGCAGUUUGUUUACUGCAGCUACAAUGUCACAGGUUAAUUCUACUUGCUGUGGUCUUAACACCAUAUCUCCUAAAUUAUUGACUUUUGUGCAUGCUACUCCUUCAUUUGUUUACUCACAGUAAUAAAUCUUCAACUUUGUC